rnacentral:lncRNA from 1 species
CCAAAAUGUAAGUGUCGCAAAUUUAUUAAUUUUAUUUUGAUAAAUGCUUUUACAUUUAAAAUAGAGCAACUAUCAUAUUUUUUUGUUCUAGAAUCAACACUUAUAUGUGCAACUACAUCUUAAAGGUGAUGAAGGGGUUCCUGCAACGCAUGUUCCUUGGCCAUUAUAUUUAGCAAUGCACCAUUGUCUGCAUGCUAGCAAGUAGCAUGUACUUUGAUUGUCCGUAACAAGACAUGUAUUUGAUGGCAUGUUUGCACCAUUUGUCAUAGGUAUAACUGUGAAAAUAAAACACAUUAAUAAAAAAAAAAAUACAUAGCAUUGAACUAUAUUUUAAAUAGGGAUCUAUAAAAGAUUAGUGUCAUGUGAAGAUAAUGUUAAAAUAAUUGAGAGACAAAGUAUUAGUUAAGAAAUAAAUUAUAAAUAUAUAAUUUUUAAAACAUACAAUUUUAAAAAAAAAUGCUUCGGAAAUUAGAUCAUAUAUUUAGAUCUCGAGAUAAUAUCUAAAAUUAAGAAUACCGUAUCUAAAUCAAUGAUAAUUGAUUUUUAUAGAAUCCAAUUAACAUGGCAAUAUUUUAAAUUUGUUAAGUUAAUCUAAUGAAUACUGUCAUCACAUAUAUGCUACAAAAUUUGAUAUAUAAAUUUGUAUACCUGAACAAAUAAAGGCAAGCACGAUAAUUAGCAAGGCGGAAAACUUAGCCAUUUGAAAUAGUUUCAAUAUCAAUAGCAAUAUUAUGAUUUAUUCUUGUUGUUCAACUCUAUGAUAUCUCUUUGAUAAAAUAAAAAUCAACACUUUAUAUAAAAAAAAAACGAAUGAAAAAGAUUUAUUUAAUAGUAUUGCAAAUAAAUAAAGUAUUUAUGUUUACUCCUUAUAUCAGAAAGAGUCAACAUUUUUAAUUUUCAAAAAAACAAAAAAGAAAACUAGAAUUCAACAUUUGAAAUAUUUUAAAGUAUGAAUACAUAUCUAUUAUCUAUGAUAAAGCAAAAAUUAUAAUAAAGAUAAUUUUCAAGUGGCGCCUUUGUACACAUGUAAAUUAAUAUCCAUCAAUUUUUAAAUUUUUUAAUUUCAAUUGUAAUAAAUAAUUAAAAUAAUAAUAAAAUUAUAUUCAUUUAUUUUAAGAAGGUUUCAUAUGGUAAUUUUUGUUAGAAAAUAAUUAAAUUAAUAUGGACUAACAAAAUGUAAUAUUUAUAAAAUAAAAUAAGAUGUAUUGUAUAUAGGGAUGAGAAUAGGCUAAGCCGUCCGUCAAGAUGGCAUGACCUGACAUGACUUAUUUAAUAAAAAUGUUAGACUCAUGUUAUUUUUAAAGCUUAUUUAUUUAAAUAAGUUAGACUCAGACUUAUAAAAACACCUAUUAGGAUUGAUACGUCGGCCUAUAUAUAUUUUAUUAUUUAUUAGUGUUAUUUUUUAUUAUUUGUUUGAGAGGUAAUAAUGAGUGCGUUUGUUUCAGGAAAAAGAAUAUAUUUUUUGAAAUUAAAAAUCAUUUUUUAGGGUAUAAAGGAUGUAGGCCAGAAUUAGGCCUAAAAAAAUUAAUCGUAUGCCAGAUUUAGGCCUUUCAAAGCCUGGUCUGGCUUGGCCUAUUCCAAUCCCUUAUUGUAUAUAAUAAAGUAAGGAAAUUUCAAUAAAGAAAAUUUUCUCGUGACCCUUCUAUAUACCCAAUUUUCUUUCUAUUUUCACUUUUUAAUUUUUGAAUAUCGAUUCAAGUAAAUAAUAAUGAUAAUAAUUAAAAUAUACAAAUUAAUUUUAACAUAUAAAUUUGGAAAAUUAUAACACACAAAUAGAAAGAAAAUAAACUUAGAAAAAUUAAAGCAUAUAGUAUCCAAGAGUUAUUGGAUGAUAAUAUAAUCAAAUAACAUCUUUAGUGGAUAAUUUAAUCUUAUGCGUUAAUUAAAUCCAAUGGUUAUUAUUAAUAGUUCUCAUUUAUCAUAAUAACUAUUAGUUUUUACUGGAUAAACUCCAUAUAUAUAAGAAAACUUUAUUAAUCAAAUAGUUUGGGAACAUUAAUCAAUUAAUAUAAUGUGCUAAUCAAUUAACAAAUAAAAAUAAUGAACUAAUUUACAAGAAAACUUUAAUAAUCAAAUAGCUUGGGAACAUUAAUCAAUUAAGAUGACAAUAUACUUAACAGAUGGCUGAUUUAAAGGAUAUUUUGGAAUUUAGUUUGGUUCUUAAAUUUUAUUGGAUUAAUAAAUAUACAAAAUUAUUAAUUGUAAGAGGUUUUGCCAUAUACAAAAAUUCCAUUGACUUUGAAAAUCCAAUCCCCUUCUCACCAUUUUAAGGGAUUCAAUUUUUCUGCCCUAACCUUAUUUAAUUUUAUAAUGAAGUUAAUUUUGGUAAAGUAUAGAUGUGUCAGCUCCUUGGUGUUACGUUAAGAUUUUUAACUUAAUUUAAAAUUAAGAAAAUAAUUAAUUUAGUUUUAAAAAUUGUAACCGUCGAAUUUUUUUUAAUAAUUUUAAAUUAGCAAAAAAAUCAAUGAAAUUGAAAUGCUACCAUCAAAAUAGUUCUUUCGUUUACUAUUACUUUUCAUUAAAGCAUAUUUUCAAUGGCCAUUUUGAAAAAGUAUUUUGUUCAGAUUACGUUUAUAAAUUCUUUAGAUUGAUUAUGUUAAUAUUUUGUGGUAGAUAAAUUUUGCUUAAACCUUUUUCAAAUCUUCUAUAAAUUUUGAACAUGUCUUCUUUCAUACUUUUUGAAGGCAAAUAUAUUUUUCUCAUAAAAUAAUUUUAUGAUCAUAAAAACUCUAAGUAUAAAAUGAACUUGUUUCCAAAAGUCUUCCACUUUUUAAAUAUGACAAAACUUGUACUUUUUAUAAUAACUUUUCUAUGUAUUUCUUUGACUCCUUCUAUCUUAGGGUUCCACCUAAGUCUAAGUAUCAUUCUCUCCCCACUUUAUCGAAUAUAUUUCUCCCCCUUUUUUGAUUUUAUUUCAUCGUUUUUUCUCUCUUUUUUUUCCUCUUUUUUUGUUGUUGUUGAAUAACAUGAAUACAACAUAUUACAAGAAAAUAUAAAACUAAUUCUAAACAAAACUACUUUGAAGUUGUCAUAACAUCAGUCAAUUAUGACGGUAAGGUUUAGGUUUAGGUUUUUCUUGAAGAAGUCAAACCUAUCUUCAAGUUGUGGUUUGUUGAAUAUGUCUGCCGAUUGGCGUUCAGUGUCUACAAACUGAAUAUUUAGUACCCUUUUUGAACAAAGUACAUAAUGAAAUGGUGUUUGAUCUUUAUGCGUUUAGCUCUAGAAUGUAAGAUAGGGUUUUUGAUUAGACAAAUGACAUAAGUGUUAUCAUAAUAGAUUGAAAUGUCGGAUUCUAGGAACCUAUUUUAAUUUGUCAAUUUUUUCGUUUGAAUCAUCUCUUUCAAGUGAACAAGUUGGAUGCAUUGGUGUAGCCAUAAGUUUGCAAUCACUCAUCUUAUACUUCCUAAGAAGCUAAUUUGUAUAUACCUUGUUGAUUUUUCUGAAUUUGUAUCCCUAACAAGAACUUAAGUUCUCUCUUCAUACUUAUAUGAAAUUCAAGCUGGAUUAAUUUAGAGAAUUCUAGGCAAAGAGUGUCAUUAGUAGAUCCAAAAAUAAUGUCAUCAACAUAAAUUUGAAUAAUAAGAAUGUCAUUUCCUAUUAAUUUUCUAAAAAGUUUAUUUUGUACUUGUCCUCUUCUCAAAAUUAUUUUUAAGAAAGAAGUAAUAAGUUAAUAUAUCAUGCCCUAGGUGCUUGUUUUAGAACAUACAUAUAUUUCCUAACUUUAAAAACAUGAUUUGGAAAUUCAGAACUUUCCAAACCUGUGGGUUGUUUAACAUAGAUCUUUAUGUUGUUUAACAUCCAUUUGAAAUAAUGUAAUGUUAGUAUUUUUAGCAAAAGAAAGUAGGAUACAAAUAACUUCUAACCUGGCUACUAGAGUAAAUGUCUCAGUGUAACCUCUUGUUAAAUGCAACCAUGUGCGACAAAUCUUCCGUUGUUUCUGACCACUUCACCUUUUUCAUUUAGCUUGUUUCUAAAAACCCACUUGGUUCCAAUAAUGUUCUUAUUUGGUCUAGGUACUAGAUCCCAAACAUCACCCUUUUAAAUUCCUAUAACUCUUCGUGCAUUGCAUGAAUCCCUCCAUCAUUUGCUAAUGCUUUAUCAACAAUGGUAGGCUUAAUUGAUGACAAUGAGCCAAACAAAAUAGUAUCUUUUGAUGAUGAUCUUCCCCUAAAAGGAUCACUUGCACUUCCAAUGAGAUUAGAUGUAGUAUACUUCCAUAAAGAUCUUCCUUCUGACUUAUCUUAACUAUUUCUAACUUGAUCAUAUUCAUCCUCGGAAGAUUCUUCAUCUUCUGGUUUGUCUGCAUCUGCUUCAUUUGGUUCUAGUAAGCUUAUAGUAUUCUCAACUUGUUUUGACUUUUUAAGGUCACGCUAUUUGUCAUACAACAUAAUAUAAAUCAGAUAAUAAUUAAAUUUCAUAAACUAUAUAACCUAUAUGUCAACAGGUUCAGUUGCACUCUAAAAACCUUGUUAUUUCUUCCUUUAUGGUUUUCAAAUUAUGAAUUUUCAUAUUCUCUUAUUAGAGGGUUCGGAUGAAUGGAUUUGAAUUCUCAUCUAGGUUAGUACCUGAUUCUGAGUGUUAAUCUGACACUUAUGUUUCUGCUGAUGUAUCAAAUUCAUUUGGUAUAUAAUCUAACAAUAGGGGAAAAAUCUCGUGUGAUGUGCAAGAGGAUUAGAUGUAUCGUAGGUCAUAAGGGGAACCAAAAUAAUAUUGUUGUGUUCAUUAUUUUUCUGCAAUUUAUUUUUGCCAUACUCUUUCUUAAUCAGAAAAAGCAAUCAUUAAACCUCUACAAACAAGAAAAUUCCUAAACACCUAAUUCAUCCAACCCCCCCAGCUGCACCUUUGUUCUUACACAAUUUAUUUUGGGAUUUGUUAUUACAUGCUCAGUUUUGAAUAUUUUUGUAUGUUAAAUAAUUUUUAGCUGUAAUGUUUAAUUUUAAGGAUUUUACAGUGUUAAUUCUUUUGAAUAAUUCAUUAUUUAUAAUAGUACCUUAUUCUCUUAUAUAUAUGUGAAAUUUUUCGUUAUUACCUCAAUUGUUAAACCCACGUAACUAGACAUUAUAUUUUUGGUAUUAAAGUCAGGGUGAACCUAGAUCGAACUGUUGUGUGGGUUUACAUUACUUUAUAUUAUCAUUAUUUUUAUCUAUUUUUUUAUUUAAAAAAAAUAAAAACAUGCGCUUAUAGGAUUUCUUGUUAUAGUCAUAAAUUUUGCAUACUAUUAUGUUUGAUAUUAGGAUUGGCCAACUAAGUGUUUUAUUGGUUGCGUGCAUAUUUAUGACCUAUAACAAACGUGGGACAAAUGAUGCACUUGACGAAGCUUUUGGCUUCAAAUUUGGAACCAUGAAGAUAAUACAAAGACUCUCCGUCAUUUGAUAGGACCCUAUGUUACAUCGGCAGCAGUCGUAGACCCUCAAUAUAUUGGACUUUUUGAAUUUUGGAAAAACAAACCACCACAUUUUCGAGGUAGUUUUGAUCCCAAUUGAGUUACAAGAGUGGUUGCUGAAAUUAGAGAAAAUAUUUUAAGUUAUCUGGUGUGUUGAUGAUCAAAAAGUGCACUUUGCCAUUUAUAUGUUAGAUUCUGAUGUUAACAUUGGUGUAAUUGUGCUAGAGGAGGUCUACUGACAAAAAGAAUACCUAUUACGUUGGAUAGGUUUAAAGAGAAAUUUCCAGAAAAAUAUUUUCCCCACAAUGUUCACAUUCAGAAGGAAAAAAAAGUUUAUUCAUCUUUGUUAGGGAGAUACGUCAUUUGUAAAUAAUGUCCCGAAGUUUGACGAUAUAUCUAGGUACUCUCACUACUUAUAGACAAUACAAAAGAUAAGUGGAAGGCAAUCAAAUUUAAGCAAGGACUAAAGUCAGAACUUCAAAGAUUUAUUGGAAUUCUAGAGAUUCGUGACUUCUCCAUCUUGGUGAACAAGUCAAAGGUGUCAGAGAAAAAUAUGUAAACAUUGGAAGUUAAGAAGCCGAAGGAGAAGUUUAACUAUGGUGGAAAGAAGUUCCACAAUAAGGACAAUAAGUUUCAGAAGAAUUUUCGCCCAAUACAAACAAUUUGGAAGGACAAGCUUCAAUUAAUAAGAAUAAGGGAUGUGAGAAGUGUGGAUUCAAUCAUGGAGAUCAAUCAUGUCCUACCGUAUGAAUUACAUGUUUGAAAUGUGGAAAGGAUUUACAUUUUGAUAGAUGUUGCAAGAGUUAGGGGCAAUGCCAAUCUAGUCCACAAAAAUAAGGGAGAGUCUUUACAUUCUAAUGAGAAGAGGUGAAAGAGUCAGAUGGUUUUAUCAAAGAUAUGAGUUUUAUUAAGAAUAAAAAGAUUAUUGUUUCCACCAUCAAAAGUACACUUCACUUGGAACUAAACCAUCCCAAGAAUUUUCUCCACUUGGAACUAAACCAUUCUAAGAAUUUUCUCAUGUCGAAACCUAGCUGAAAUUUAUGGUGCAACUCCCAUGUUGGCUUCCAGGAAGUUCUUCAGCCAUCGACACAUCACCAUACACCUUGCAUCAAUGCCAACCAAUGCCCGUGUGUUGUUCUGAAUUCGCUAGCAAUAACUUGUCCUUUUUCAUGGUAUAGCGGAAAUACCAUAAGGACAAACUUUAUCUUCUAGAUGAGAUCAACGUCAUCUCCCAAAACAAGGGAGACCUUGCCAGCACUUGUCUCAGAGUCUUUUUCAGAUACUGCUCCACCUGGACAAUUUCUCUUCACAUGCCCAGACUUUCCACACUCCCAGCACACCAAAUUCUUUGCAUGUAUCUUCUUCCCAUUAGCCUCACUUCUAGUCAGCAACAUUGAGCUUGAUGAAGUGCUUUCAACAUUUUUCAUUCUCAUUUCUUCAGAAAUAAUUUUAGUUGCAACUUCUUCAAAACUCAAAUUUUCCUUCCCAUACAUCAGAACAGGUUUAAGAUGAACAUAGGAAGGUGGAAGAGACAAAAUGAGCCUUAAUGCUUUAUCUUCAUCAUCAAUCUCAACUUUGAUAGAUUCCAACUCAGAGAUAAUAUUAUUCAAAGUGCUAAGAUGAUCAGAGAUUUUCGUACCUUCAUCCAUGCGCAAAUUGUGGAAUUGCUCUUUCAACAACAACCGAUUUGAGAUGCCCUUAGCCUAAUAUAACCCUUCAAGUUUCUCCCAGAGUUGCUUGGUUGAUGACAGAUUCUGCACAUUUGCAAGAACAUUCUUUGCCAAACACAGACGAAUUGCACUUGCAGCUCUCAAAUCUAGUUCCUCCCACUUGUCGGCCUCCAUGUUGGAAGUGUUUCCUUUCAACGCCUUGUGUAAUCCUAAUUGUAUAAGCACAUCCUUGACUUGUACUUUCCACAAACCAAAGUUGAUUCUUCCAUCAAACUUCUCUAUGUCAAACUUCAUAACGCUUGAAUAAGACAUAGCAGCUGCGCGCAGACUGUAAACAGUGCACCAGGUAAGUUCCCAGGAAAGAGAGGUGGGUCACAACAGACACGCUUAAAUACCAAGUCUUUCCUUAGCCAGAACCUCCCUAAACAACACUUUCACAGUAUCACCUUUCCCCUAACAAUACCAAGGAUAAUUCUUUUCUGAUGUGGAAGAUCAGCCAAAACUGCAACCACAGAGCAUACUAAGAAAAAUUAUCCUACCGAAACUCGGUCUGAUACCAGUUGUUGGGAAAAAAUAGCAUAAGUUCAAAAGAAUUAAGACACAAUCACAACACAAGAAUAUAACGUGGAAACUCCAAAACCAGAGAAAAAACUACGGUCGCUGUCGAAACCGGCAACCAGAGAAUUAACACUAUGUGAAAAUUGUUACAACACAUAGACUUCUCUCACUCACACCAGACACCCCAGUACAACCAUACUCUUACAAAGCAAAUAUUUAAACUAAGCCAGAUACAAGCUUAAAGUGCUAUUGCUGACUGGUGCAUUUUAAAACAAAAGACCAAAACCCAAUAUAUAGCCUUGGCCUUCUCCUUAUUCUCCCACACUAAAGGAUGUGGGACUUGCAAUCAACCCCAACAUUCUCCACCUUGAUUGUAAGAGUUACAGCUUCCGCUUCCAUUGUCUUACCGACAAUCAUACUCCACCAUCAAAAGUACACUUCACUUGGAACUAAACCAUCCCAAGAAUUUUCUCCACUUGGAACUAAACCAUUCCAAGAAUUUUCUCAUGUCGAAACCUUGCUGAAAUUAAUGGUGCAACUCCCAUGUUGGCUUCCAGGAAGUUCUUCAGCCAUCGACAAAUCACCACACACCUUGCAUCAAUGCCAACCAAUGCCCGUGUGUUGUUCUGAAUCCGCUAGCAAUAACUUGUCCUUUUUCAUGGUAUAGCGGAAAUACCAUAAGGACAAACUUUAUCUUCUAGAUGAGAUCACCAUCAUCUCCCCAAACAAGGGAGACCUUGCCAGCACUUGUCUCAGAGUCUUUUUCAGAUACUGCUCCACCUGGACAAUUUCUCUUCACAUGCCCAGACUUUCCACACUCCCAGCACACCAAAUUCUUUGCAUGUAUCUUCUUCCCAUUAGCCCCACUUCUAGUCAGCAACAUUGAGCUUGAUGAAGUGCUUUCAUCAUUUUUCAUUCUCCUUUCUUCAGAAAUAAUUUUAGUUGCAACUUCUUCAAAACUCAAACUUUCCUUCCCAUACAGAUACAAGCUUAAAGUGCUAUUGCUGACUGGUGCAUUUUAAAACAAAAGACCAAAACCCAAUAUAUAGCCUUGGCCUUCUCCUUAUUCUCCCACACUAAAGGAUGUGAGACUUGCAAUCAACCCCAACAUGAAUUACAUGUUUGAAAUGUGGAAAGGAAUGACAUUUUGAUAGAUGUUGCCAGAGUUAGGGGCAAUGCCAAUCUAGUCCACAAAAAUAAGGGAGAGUCUUUACAUUCUAAUGAGAAGAGGUGAAAGAAUCAGAUGGUUUUAUCAAAGAUAUGAGUUUUAUUAAGAAUAAAAAGAUUAUCAUAUUGUUUGAUUCAGGAGCGACACAUUCCUUUAUAUGUUUGUCUUGGGUGAAAUUCAGAUUGUUAUACCUUGGAAGUAUUCGGGUGGGGAAUUCCUAGGUGACUUGGAGGUAACACUCCUUUAUAUUGUUUGAUUCAGGAGCGACACAUUCCUUUAUAUGUUUGUCUUGUGUGAAAUUCAUGCAGUUGACUAUUUCUCGUCUACCUUUUGAUUUAUGUGUUUCUAACCCUACCGACAAAUAACUUAAUUCCUCCAGAGCAUGUUUUGAUUAUAUAUUUGUUUAUCACAAUGUGCCUUAUACUGUUUGCCUAUUGAAGAGUGUUUUAUUAUUUUUCUUGCUUUUUCAGAGUGUUUUAUGUCAGUUAAUUUACUUUUAUUGUCAGUUUUUAGUCUAUACAACUCUCCUACAUUAUUGAAGAAUAAAAAAAAAAUUAUUUUAUAAUCAAAAUUGUUAAUCAAAAUUACAUUAAACAAUCUCUCAUGUUUUAUUUUUGUUAACUUUAAAUACAAUAAAGUAUAACAAUUAUUUAAUACACUUUUUUAACCCAAAAUGUAAGUGUCGCAAAUUUAUUAAUUUUAUUUUGGUAAAUGCUUUUACAUUUAAAAUAGAGCAACUAUCAUAUUUUUUUUGUUCUAGAAUCAACACUUAUAUGUGCAACUACAUCUUAAAGGUGAUGAAGGGGUUCCUGCAACGCAUGUUCCUUGGCCAUUAUAUUUAGCAAUGCACCAUUGUCUGCAAGCUAGCAAGUAGCAUGUACUUUGAUUGUCCGUAACAAGACAUGUAUUUGAUGGCAUGUUUGCACCAUUUAUCAUAGG